GACGAACGCUGGCGGCGUGCUUAACACAUGCAAGUCGAACGAGAAUCUUAUCAGUGGAAACUUCGGUAGAAACAGAUAGGAGGAAAGUGGCGAACGGGUGAGUAACGCGUGAGCAACCUGCCUUACACAAAGGGAUAGCCUCGGGAAACCGGGAUUAAUACCAUAUGAGACCCCGUUGGCGAGUGCCAAAGAGGUUAAAGAUUUAUCGGUGUAAGAUGGGCUCGCGUCUGAUUAGCUAGUUGGUAGGAUAAAAGCCUACCAAGGCGACGAUCAGUAACCGGCUUGAGAGAGUGAACGGUCACAUUGGAACUGAGACACGGUCCAAACUCCUACGGGAGGCAGCAGUGGGGAAUAUUGCACAAUGGGGGAAACCCUGAUGCAGCGACGCCGCGUGAGCGAAGAAGGUUUUCGAAUCGUAAAGCUCUGUCCUUGGAGAAGAUAAUGACGGUAACCAAGGAGGAAGCACCGGCUAAAUACGUG
rnacentral:rRNA from 1 species